rnacentral:rRNA from 1 species
AUUGAACGCUGGCGGCAUGCCUUACACAUGCAAGUCGAACGGAUCCAGGGGCUUGCUCCUGGGUUAGUGGCGAACGGGUGAGUAAAGCAUCGGAACGUACCCAGUUGUGGGGGAUAACGUAGCGAAAGUUACGCUAAUACCGCAUACGCACUGAGGCGGAAAGCGGGGGACCGAAAGGCCUCGCGCAAUUGGAGCGGCCGAUGUCGGAUUAGCUAGUUGGUGGGGUAAAAGCUCACCAAGGCGACGAUCCUGAGCUGGUCUGAGAGGAUGAUCAGACACACUGGGACUGAGACACAGCCCAGACUCCUACGGGAGGCAGCAGUGGGGAAUUUUGGACAAUGGGCGAAAGCCUGAUCCAGCCAUGCCGCGUGAGUGAAGAAGGCCUUCGGGUUGUAAAGCUCUUUCAGACGGAAAGAAAUUGCCUGGGUGAAUAUCCCGGGUAGAUGACGGUACCGUAAGAAGAAGCACCGGCUAACUACGUGCCAGCCGCCGCCGCGGUAA